rnacentral:rRNA from 1 species
UACGUAGGGUGCGAGCGUUGUCCGGAUUUAUUGGGCGUAAAGAGCUUGUAGGCGGCUCGUCGCGUCGGGUGUGAAAACUUGCGGCUUAACCGCAAGCCUGCACCCGAUACGGGCGGGCUAGAGUUCGGCAGGGGAGACUGGAAUUCCUGGUGUAGCGGUGGAAUGCGCAGAUAUCAGGAGGAACACCGGUGGCGAAGGCGGGUCUCUGGGCCGAUACUGACGCUGAGGAGCGAAAGCGUGGGGAGCGAACAGG